rnacentral:rRNA from 1 species
GUGGGGAAUAUUGGACAAUGGGCGCAAGCCUGAUCCAGCCAUGCCGCGUGAGUGAUGAAGGCCCUAGGGUUGUAAAGCUCUUUCAGUGGGGACGAUAAUGACGGUACCCACAGAAGAAGCCCCGGCUAACUUCGUGCCAGCAGCCGCGGUAAUACGAAGGGGGCUAGCGUUGUUCGGAUUUACUGGGCGUAAAGCGCACGUAGGCGGAUCGUUAAGUCGAGGGUGAAAUCCUGGAGCUCAACUCCAGAACUGCCUUCGAUACUGGCGAUCUUGAGUCCGUAAGAGGUGAGUGGAACUCCUAGUGUAGAGGUGGAAUUCGUAGAUAUUAGGAAGAACACCAGUGGCGAAGGCGGCUCACUGGUCCGGUACUGACGCUGAGGUGCGAAAGCGUGGGGAGCAAACAGGAUUAGAAACCCGAGUAGUCC